rnacentral:rRNA from 1 species
GUCCACGCCGUAACGAUGUCGACUAGCCGUUGGAGCCUUGAGCUCUUAGUGGCGCAGCUAACGCAUUAAGUCGACCGCCUGGGGAGUACGGCCGCAAGGUUAACUCAAUGAAUUGACGGGCCCGGCACAAGCGGUGGAGCAUGUGGUUUAAUUCGAAGCAACGCGAAGAACCUUACCAGGCCUUGACAUGCAGAGAACUUUUCCAGAGAUGGAUUGGUGCCUUCGGGAACUCUGACACAGGUGCUGCAUGGCUGUCGU